AUUGAACGCUGGCGGCAGGCCUAACACAUGCAAGUCGAGCGGAGCGGCGGACGGGUGAGUAAUGCCUAGGAAUCUGCCUGGUAGUGGGGGAUAACGUCCGGAAACGGGCGCUAAUACCGCAUACUAUCAGAUGAGCCUAGGUCGGAUUAGCUAGUUGGUGGGGUAAAGGAUUACCAAGGCGACGAUCCGUAACUGGUCUGAGAGGAUGCUCAGUCAAUCUGUAACUGAGAUACGGUCCAUACUCCUACGGGAGGCAGCGGUGGGGAAUAUUGGACAAUGGGCGAAAGCGUAAUCCAGCCAAGGCGCGUGUGUGAAGAAGGUCAUCGGAUUGUAGAGCACUUUAAGUUGGGAGGCGUUACCAACAGAAUAAGCACCGGCUAACUUCGUGCCAGCAGCCGCGGUAAUAC
rnacentral:rRNA from 1 species